GGGGCUGUCAUGGUUUCGACAGGUUAUUGUUUGAUUCAGGCUGCAGUGGAGUGAUGACCAUAUCAUCAACAAAUUUAAACGCAAACAACUAUAACAGAAGCGCAAGCUUCGCUUUCGCUGCUUAAUUGACGCUUGACGCGUCGCAGCGACCCGAUGAACAGUUGAGUUACCUGCUGUUCAUUGUGUAAUCAGGUAAAUACGGAAAAGCCCAUGUCUGUAAGCUGAUCCCGACAAUUUUACAGGCAGAUUCAGAGGACGGGUGGUUCGUUGUCAUGUCCUUUGUCUUAUUCAAUCAAUGAACUAAACUGUAGACGCCUGAAUGUGGGACGUUUCUUGGACACGGGUUCGACUCCCGUCAGCUCCACCA
rnacentral:tmRNA from 1 species